rnacentral:ncRNA from 1 species
UUGUUUUUUAUCAAAAUUAUACAUGCAAGCCUCCACACCCCAGUGAGAAUGCCCACGAACCCCUAAACAGCAAACCGGAGCAGGCAUCAGGAUCCAACCCGCACUUAGCCAAAGACGCCUUGCGAACGCCACACCCACACGGGCUUACAGCAGUAAUUAACAUUAAAACAUGAGCGAAAGCUCGACUUAGUUAUGAUCCAUACGGUCGGUAAAUUUCGUGCCAGCCACCGCGGUUAUACGAAAGACCAAAAACAAUGACCAACGGCGUAAAGCGUGACUAGAGACCACACCCAAUUAAAGGAAAAUAGCCCCAUAGUUGUAAAACACCCCCGCAUGCUAGAAUCACAACAACGCCUUUAAACCCUCUUUACCUCACGAAAACUAAGAAACAAACUGGGAUUAGAUACCCCACUAUGCUUAGCCCUAAACAUAGACAGCACAAACACAGUGCCCUCCGCCAGAGGACUACAAGCGUAAAGCUAAAAACUCCAAGGACUUGGCGGUGCUUCAAACCAACCUAGAGGAGCCUGUCCUGUAAUCGAUACCCCACGUUCUACCUCACCCCUCCUAGCCAACCAGCCUAUAUACCGCCGUCGUCAGCCUACCUUAUGAAAGCAAUAAAGUGGGCAAAAAAGUUAUUUACUAACACGUCAGGUCAAGGUGUAGCACACGGAGCGGCAGAGAUGGGCUACAUUUUUUCAAAGAAAAAACACGAACAGUAAACUGAAACACCCACUCGAAGGCGGAUUUAGUAGUAAAAUAAGAAAGAACACUUAUUUUUAAACCUGCUCUGAAGCGCGCACACACCGCCCGUCACCCUCAUCA